UACGUAGGGGGCAAGCGUUGUCCGGAUUUAUUGGGCGUAAAGAGCGUGUAGGCGGCCGCACAGGUCCGUUGUGAAAACUGGAGGCUUAACCUCCAGACGUCGAUGGAAACCGUGCGGCUAGAGUCCGGAAGAGGAGAAUGGAAUUCCUGGUGUAGCGGUGAAAUGCGCAGAUAUCAGGAAGAACACCCGUGGCUAAGGCGGUUCUCUAGUACGGUACUGACGCUGAGACGCGAAAGCGUGGGGAGCGAACAGG
rnacentral:rRNA from 1 species